rnacentral:rRNA from 1 species
UGGGCGUAAAGAGCUCGUAGGCGGCUUGUCGCGUCGGAUGUGAAAGCCCGGGGCUUAACCCCGGGUCUGCAUUCGAUACGGGCAGGCUGGAGUGUGGUAGGGGAGAUCGGAAUUCCUGGUGUAGCGGUGAAAUGCGCAGAUAUCAGGAGGAACACCGGUGGCGAAGGCGGAUCUCUGGGCCAUUACUGACGCUGAGGAGCGAAAGCGUGGGGAGCGAACAGGAUUAGAUACCCUGGUAGUCCACGCCGUAAACGUUGGGCACUAGGUGUGGGUCACAUUCCACGUGGUCCGCGCCGCAGCUAACGCAUUAAGUGCCCCGCCUGGGGAGUACGGCCGCAAGGCUAAAA